rnacentral:rRNA from 1 species
GGAGCGAUCUGGAGCAAAACCCAAAAAAGCAGUCUCAGUUCGGAUUGAAGGCUGAAAUUCGCCUUCAUGAAGCCGGAAUUGCUAGUAAUGGCAGGUCAGCAUACUGCCGUGAAUACGUUCCCGGGCCUUGUACACACCGCCCGUCACACCAUGAGAGUUGGGAAUACCCGGAGCCUGUGAGCUAACUUUUAGAGGCAGCAGUCGAAGGUAGAAUCAAUGAUUGGGGUGAAGUCGUAACAAGGUACC